rnacentral:rRNA from 1 species
UACAGAGGUCCCAAGCGUUGUUCGGAUUCAUUGGGCGUAAAGGGUGCGUAGGUGGCGCCGUAAGUCGGGUGUGAAAUUUCGGAGCUUAACUCCGAAACUGCAUUCGAUACUGCGGUGCUUGAGGACUGGAGAGGAGACUGGAAUUCAUGGUGUAGCAGUGAAAUGCGUAGAGAUCAUGAGGAAGACCAGUGGCGAAAGCGGGUCUCUGGACAGUUCCUGACACUGAGGCACGAAGGCCAGGGGAGCAAACGGG